AGCUGUGCGUCUGGCAGCGCAGGUCCAGCAGCGUGGGCCCCAGGAAGGCGAUGCACAGGCCGAAGCUGAAGAAGACGCUCCAGUAGAAAUGCGACCCAGCCUUGAGCUGCAUCCAGCUCAAGUGUCACCCCCUUCCGGAUAGAGUCGGCGGCUCCCUCCUUCGUGCCAGGGAACCAGCUGUUUCCCUCUGGCCUGGCUUCCCGAUUGCCGUGGGAGAACAGAGCCGGCAGAGAGUCCCGAUCCUUCCCAGUUUCCGGCAUGCAGAGACCCAGGGAUUCACAGACUGCCCCGCCUUCGUCUCCCACCCAGGCCCUGCUCCCAGGCCACGUGGGAGUUGAGCCUACGGGAGAUGGAAGAGAGGCCCAGAUGUCCGAUUCCUCUCAUCUUAAGCCCUGGCUUACGCGGCACUGAUAGAGAUGUCCCCUAAUCCGCCGCCGCUGCUCUCGUCCUUAUCCCUAUUCCCAAGGAGAUUUGCCAAGAGGAUAAACCCAGCCCGAGGACUUGGGCUCCCGGCCCCAUUUUCGGCAUCACCUCCAGGUGGGGGCAGCCAGGGCUAGGCCCCGACGUGGCCGGCACAGGUCCCUGCACGGACUCAGGUAGCUACUUACGAGGUCAAGAGCGUUGAAACACUACCCAUGCUCAAAACCCUUCCAUUAAUAAGCAAUAAUGUCUCAUAUUUACUGAGGACUUGAUGUGUGCCAGACGUGUUUUCAGUACUUUACCUGUGUCGAGGGAGUGGGUACACUGAUAUUUUACCCAUAAGGAAACUGAGGCACAGAGAGGUGAAGUAAGUGGCCCAAGGUCACUCAGCUAAUGAGUGGUCUAGGUGGGAUUUGAACCCUAUGGCUCCAGAGAUGAGGCUCUUAACCACAAGGCUGCCAGGCUUAUACUGCCCUCCUCAGGGUCCUGAGAGCCACGGCCUGACCCCUGACCCUUUUAGGGUACCCUAGGCCACCCCAUCGGAGUCCAGAGUCAGGAUUCUGAACUCUAACCAGCCACGCCCAACCCAGCCCUUGGCUCCCCAACUGAGUGAAGUGCGUCCACACCAGCUCAUAUCACACGGAAUGAGCUUCUUCCCCCACAACCCCAGGCUGCUCAUUCAGAGCUUUGGGGUCCUUAACCUUCAGGACCCCAAAGCUACAGUAUUGCUAUGUUCCGGUCCUUCCUAGACUCUUAGGGACCUGCUUUUCAAACUUCUAUUAGUGUUUGCUACGGAAGUGCUGGAGAAGAGUAUUUAAAAUGAAGAUGCCCAGAGUUCACCACCCCUACCCCAAAAUUCUGACUAUGGAAGUCUGGGGUGGAGCCCAGGAUUCUGCACUCUUAGCAAACCCCAGAUAAUUCUCCCGUCCAAGUGCUAACCAGGCCCAACCCUGCUUAGCUUCCGAGGACAGAUGAGAUUGGUCGCAUUUGGGGUGGUGUGGCCGUGGACAAACCCCAGAUAAUUCUGAAGCAGGGGGUUCCUGAUGCACCCAGCUCUGGGGAACCUGCUCUAAGUGAUCUCAGAGGUGACUGUCCCAAGCCCUUACUCAUGGAAGGGGAGGGGGGCCCAUAAACACCUAAGGGAUGCAUGAGUGUCCCUUUACUCCUGACUUUGUUGUUCAAGUUUCUCUCUUGGAGGUUUAAUAUGUUAUAAAAUGCAGUGGAAGAUCCUGUAGGCUGUAGAUGUGUCCUUCUGUCUUCUGAGGGUCACGGCUGCCUCUCUGGGUUUCAUCACUUAGGCAAAGGAGGAAGCAGGGGGCAGGCCCGCCCCUUGAGAGCUGGGAAGGGCCUUGGGCUGCACCUGUGUUUGCAGACCAGGUUGCUGCUCUCUUGGCCGAAGUCAUAGAGCAGCGCCCCCAAGGCGUGUCCCUCACCUGGGGCAUAAAGGCUUCAGAAUCACCUGUGCUAUUUGUUGAACAUGCAGCUCCCUGUGAAAUUAGAAUGGGCGAGAGGGGCCAGGACCCAGGAAUCUGCACUCCUAUUCAGCACCUCGGUCAUCUCUUACGUACAUGAAUGUUUGAGAAAUCCUGUUAUAGAACGUGGACUUUAGAGUGUCGCAGCCCUGGGUUCAAAUGUCAGCUCUGGCCCAAAGCAGUUAAUCCUCAGGGCCAAUCAAACCGUGAGAAAGUGUAUGCAAGGCACCUGGCACCUAGGAAAUGCGGGCACACCCAGCCUCCUGGUAAAGAGAGAGAUGCUUAAAUAAAUACCUUGUCUGGGAGAGAGGAGCUAGGAGCCUGUUAAAACACUGAGCAUUACUCACCCCGGGGCAAACACUGAGUGGCUUCAAAACAAUUCUGACUUUGCAUUUCCUCUGGGGUGAGCUCAGUGAAGCUGUUAAAGGUGAGAGGUCCUUUCCCAUACUCAGGUGGGAGCCAUCUCAAGGGGGGGGGCAGGUGUUGUGUGUGACAUAUAAUGCAAUACUGGCUCAUCCACAGCCCCCCCCCAUUUCCCCUCUGCUUUACCUUCCCAGACCCCUCCCCGUGCGGCAGGCCCAGGCUGAAAGGCCCUCUUGGCAAGCCACAGGUCUGCCAAGGUCCCGGGGACCCUUAGCCUCCCAGCCAGGAGGCUCCAAGUCCCCUGCCCAGUCCGAUGAUCCAAAGAAAUGGCAGAGCUUUUGAAGAGUUCCAGCCGUUCAUAAUGGGUCGGUCCCGUCCGGAAACGGUCCCCAGCUCUGCUGAGAGCCUGCCAGGCGACUAGGUGACAUCCUGCUCUCAGCUCGUACAAUGGGCACGGGCAGAACAAUGCCGAGUGGGAAAAACAUCCCGCCAGACCGCAGGCUCACAUCCUCC